GCACUGAAUGAGGUAGGGGCCAACACGGUUACUGAACUCUAUCAAACUACGAAUACCAAAUGUGUAAGAACAAGAGUCAGACUGCGGGAGCUAAGUUCCGUGGUCAAAAGGGAAAGAGCCCAGAUCGUCAAUUAAGGUCCCAAAGAUAUAGUUAAGUGGAAAACGAUGUGAUUUUGCGUAAACAACCAGGAUGUUGGCUUAGAAGCAGCCAUUCAUUCAAAGAGUGCGUAAUAGCUCACUGGUCGAGUGAAGUUGCGCGGAAAAUUACCGGGGCUAAACUAUACACCGAAAUUGCGGAUUUGCAUAGAAAUAUGUAAGUGGUAGAGGAGCAUUCUAUAGUAGGACGAAGCAUAAUCGAAAGGAUAUGUGGACGAGAUAGAAGAGAGAAUGCCGGAAUAAGUAGCGAAAGCAUGGUGAGAAUCCAUGCCAUCGAAAGUCUAAGGUUUCCUGGGGAAGGUUCGUCCGCCCAGGGUAAGUCGGGACCUAAGGAGAGGCCGAAAAGCGUAUCCGAUGGACAGCAGGUAGAAAUUCCUGCACUACGUAAUACUUAAAAGACAUAAAUGACACAGGAGUGGAAGAUAAGCGAGGAAGAGGAAAGACUCGUAUCGAAAGAUAUAGUGAAAAUUAAAGUAACGAAUUAUCAAGAAGCUAAUGGCGAGAAAAGUUUAUGGAUAUUGUAUUAAGUACCCGUACCGCAAACCGACACAGGUAGAUGAGGAGAAGAUCCUAAGAUGAGCGAGAGAAGCAUUGUUAAGGAACUCGGCAAAUUGACCCCGUAACUUCGGAAUAAGGGGUGCUGGAGUAAAAUCCAGUCGCAGAGAAUAGUCCCAAGCAACUGUUUAACAAAAACACAGGUUUCUGCUAAAUCGAAAGAUGAAGUAUAGGAGCUGACGCCUGCCCAGUGCUGGAAGGUUAAGGGAAAAUGUACCCGCACGAAAGGUGUAAUGAUUUGGGAGCUGUCUCGACAAUGUACUCGGCGAAAUUGUAGUACUAGUGAAGAUGCUAGUUACCUGCGACAAGACAGAAAGACCCCAUGGAGCUUUACUGCAGCUUGAUACUGGGUUUCGGUAAUUUAUGUACAGGAUAGGUGGGAUGCUAAGAAGUAUGUGCGCCAGCGCAUAUGGAGCAGACGUUGGGAUACCACCCUUAAAUUACUGGAAUUCUAACUAUAAGUCCUAAGCGGGCUUGAGGACAAUGUCAGGCGGGCAGUUUGACUGGGGCGGUCGCCUCCUAAAGAGUAACGGAGGCGCGCAAAGGUUUCCUCAGCGCGGACAGAAAUCGCGCGAAAGAGUGCAAAGGCAGAAGGAAGCUUAACUGAGAGACAGACAUGUCGACCAGAUACGAAAGUAGGUCUCGAUGUCGGCUCAUCACAUCCUGGAGCGGAAGUACGUUCCAAGGGUUGGGCUGUUCGCCCAUUAAAGUGGUACGCGAGCUGGGUUCAGAACGUCGUGAGACAGUUCGGUCCUUAUCUGUCGCAGGCGAAGGAUAUUUGAAGGGAGUUGACCUUAGUACGAGAGGACCAGGUUGAAGGAACCGAUGGUGCACCAGUUGUACUACCAAGUGCAUAGCUGGAUAGCUAAGUUCCGAAGGGAUAAACGCUGAAAGCAUCUAAGUGUGAAGCCCACCCUAAGAUAAGAUAUCCCAUAUCGAAAGAUAGUAAGAUUCCAAUAAGACUAAUUGGUAGAUAGGUUGGAGGUGUAAGUAUAGUGAUAUAUUGAGCUGACCAAUACUAAUAAAUCGAGGGCUUAACUA
rnacentral:rRNA from 1 species